rnacentral:rRNA from 1 species
CACGAAGUUAGCCGGGGCUUCUUCUGUAGGUACCGUCAUUAUCGUCCCUACUGAAAGAAUUUUACAAUCCUAAGACCUUCAUCAUUCACGCGGCAUGGCUGCGUCAGGCUUUCGCCCAUUGCGCAAGAUUCCCCACUGCUGCCUCCCGUAGGAGUUUGGGCCGUGUCUCAGUCCCAAUGUGGCUGGUCAUCCUCUCAGACCAGCUACUGAUCGUAGCCUUGGUGAGCCUUUACCUCACCAACUAGCUAAUCAGACGCGGGCCGCUCUAAAGGCGAUAAAUCUUUCCCCCGAAGGGCACAUUCGGCAUUACCACCCGUUUCCAGGAGCUAUUCCGAACCUAAAGGCACGUUCCCACGUGUUACUCACCCGUCCGCCACUAACCCCGAAGGGUCCGUUCGACUUGCAUGUGUUAGGCCUGCCGCCAGCGUUCGCUCUGAGCCAGGAUCAAACUCU